rnacentral:rRNA from 1 species
UCCAUAGGCGGGCCAUUAAGUCAGGGGUGAAAGUCUGCGGCUCAACCGUAGAAUUGCCUUUGAUACUGGUGGUCUUGAGUUAUGGUGAAGUGGCUGGAAUAUGUAGUGUAGCGGUGAAAUGCAUAGAUAUUACAUAGAACACCGAUUGCGAAGGCAGGUCACUAACCAUAUACUGACGCUGAUGGACGAAAGCGUGGGGAGCGAACAGGAUUAGAUACCCUGGUAGUCC